rnacentral:rRNA from 1 species
AACGCUAGCUACAGGCUUAACACAUGCAAGUCGAGGGGCAGCAUGGUCUUAGCUUGCUUCCGAUAGGCGUCGACCGGCGCACGGGUGAGUAUCGCGUAUCCAACCUGCCCACCACUUGGGGAUAACCUUGCGAAAGUAAGACUAAUACCCAAUGAUAUCUCUAGAAGACAUCUGAAAGARAUUAAAGAUUUAUCGGUGAUGGAUGGGGAUGCGUCUGAUUAGCUUGUUGGCGGGGUAACGGCCCACCAAGGCUACGAUCAGUAGGGGUUCUGAGAGGAAGGUCCCCCACAUUGGAACUGAGACACGGUCCAAACUCCUACGGGAGGCAGCAGUGAGGAAUAUUGGUCAAUGGGCGAGAGCCUGAACCAGCCAAGUAGCGUGCAGGAAGACGGCCCUAUGGGUUGUAAACUGCUUUUAUAAGGGAAUAAAGUGAGUCUCGUGAGACUUUUUGCAUGUACCUUAUGAAUAAGGACCGGCUAAUUCCGUGCCAGCAGCCGCGGUAAUACGGAAGGUCCGGGCGUUAUCCGGAUUUAUUGGGUUUAAAGGGAGCGUAGGCCGGAGAUUAAGCGUGUUGUGAAAUGUAGACGCUCAACGUCUGCACUGCAGCGCGAACUGGUUUCCUUGAGUACGCACAAAGUGGGCGGAAUUCGUGGUGUAGCGGUGAAAUGCUUAGAUAUCACGAAGAACUCCGAUUG